rnacentral:rRNA from 1 species
CACGUAGGGUGCGAGCGUUGUCCGGAAUUAUUGGGCGUAAAGAGCUCGUAGGCGGUGUGUCGCGUCGGCCGUGAAAACCUGCAGCUUAACUGUGGGCUUGCGGUCGAUACGGGCAUCACUGGAGUUCGGCAGGGGAGACUGGAAUUCCUGGUGUAGCGGUGAAAUGCGCAGAUAUCAGGAGGAACACCGGUGGCGAAGGCGGGUCUCUGGGCCGAUACUGACGCUGAGGAGCGAAAGCGUGGGGAUCAAACAGG